GAUGAACGCUAGCUACAGGCUUAACACAUGCAAGUCGAGGGGAAACGAUAGGGAAAGCUUGCUUUUUCUAGGCGUCGACCGGCGCACGGGUGAGUAACGCGUAUCCAACCUGCCCAUCACUUGGGGAUAACCUUGCGAAAGUAAGACUAAUACCCAAUGACGUCUCUAGAAGACAUCUGAAGGAGAUUAAAGAUUUAUCGGUGAUGGAUGGGGAUGCGUCUGAUUAGCUUGUUGGCGGGGUAACGGCCCACCAAGGCGACGAUCAGUAGGGGUUCUGGGAGGAAGGUCCCCCACAUUGGAACUGAGACACGUUCCAAACUCCUACGGGAGGCAGCAGUGAGGAAUAUUGGUCAAUGGACGAGAGUCUGAACCAGCCAAGUAGCGUGCAGGAAGACGGCCCUAUGGGUUGUAAACUGCUUUUAUAAGGGAAUAAAGUGAGUCUCGUGAGACUUCUUGCAUGUACCUUAUGAAUAAGGACCGGCUAAUUCCGUGCCAGCCGCCGCCGUAA
rnacentral:rRNA from 1 species